GUGGGGAAUAUUCCGCAAUGGACGAAAGUCUGACGGAGCAACGCCGCGUGAGUGAUGAAGGUUUUCGGACUGUAAAGCUCUGUUGUUUAGGACGAAAGUGCCUGUUGCAAACAGUUACAGGUAUUGACGGCACUAAACGAGGAAGCCACGGCUAACUACGUGCCAGCAGCCGCGGUAAUACGUAGGUGGCAAGCGUUGUCCGGAAUUAUUGGGCGUAAAGAGCAUGUAGGCGGGAAUCUAAGUCUGUUGUGAAAAUGCGGGGCUCAACCCCGUAUUGCGAUGGAAACUGGGUUUCUUGAGUGCAGGAGAGGAAAGGGGAAUUCCCAGUGUAGCGGUGAAAUGCGUAGAUAUUGGGAGGAACACCAGUGGCGAAGGCGCCUUUCUGGACUGUGUCUGACGCUGAGAUGCGAAAGCCAGGGUAGCGAACGGGAUUAGAAACCCGGGUAGUCC
rnacentral:rRNA from 1 species